AUUGAACGCUGGCGGCAGGCCUAACACAUGCAAGUCGAGCGGAGCGGCGGACGGGUGAGUAAUGCCUAGGAAUAUGCCUGGUCGUGGGGGAUAACGUCCGGAAACGGGCGCUAAUACCGCAUACUAUCAGAUGAGCCUAGGUCGGAGUAGCUAGUUGGUGGGGUAAAGGCUUACCAAGGCGACGAUCCGUAACGGGUCUGAGAGGAUGAUCAGUCACACUGGAACUGAGACACGGUCCAGACUCCUAAGGGAGGCAGCAGUGGGGAAUAUUGGACAAUGGGCGAAAGCCUGAUGCAGCAAUGCCGCGUGAGUGAAGAAGGUCUUCGGAUUGUAAAGCUCUUUAAGUUGGGAAGCGUUACCAACAUAAUAAGCACCGGCUAACUUCGUGCCAGCAGCCGCGGUAAUAC
rnacentral:rRNA from 1 species